rnacentral:rRNA from 1 species
AGAGUUUGAUCAUGGCUCAGAUUGAACGCUGGCGGCAUGCUUUACACAUGCAAGUCGAACGGCAGCACGGGGGCAACCCUGGUGGCGAGUGGCGAACGGGUGAGUAAUAUAUCGGAACAUGUCCGGAAGUGGGGGAUAACGUAGCGAAAGUUACGCUAAUACCGCAUAUGCCCUGAGGGGGAAAGGGGGGGAUCGCAAGACCUCUCGCUUUCGGAGUGGCCGAUAUCGGAUUAGCUAGUAGGUGAGGUAAAGGCUCACCUAGGCGACGAUCCGUAGCUGGUCUGAGAGGACGACCAGCCACACUGGAACUGGGACACGGUCCAGACUCCUACGGGAGGCAGCAGUGGGGAAUUUUGGACAAUGGGCGCAAGCCUGAUCCAGCCAUGCCGCGUGAGUGAAGAAGGCCUUCGGGUUGUAAAGCUCUUUCAGCCGGAAAGAAAUCGCACUGGUUAAUACCUUGUGUGGAUGACGGUACCGGAAGAAGAAGCACCGGCUAACUACGUGCCAGCAGCCGCGGUAAUACGUAGGGUGCGAGCGUUAAUCGGAAUUACUGGGCGUAAAGCGUGCGCAGGCGGUUUCGUAAGACAGAUGUGAAAUCCCCGGGCUUAACCUGGGAACUGCAUUUGUGACUGCGAGACUAGAGUGUAGCAGAGGGGGGUAGAAUUCCACGUGUAGCAGUGAAAUGCGUAGAGAUGUGGAGGAAUACCGAUGGCGAAGGCAGCCCCCUGGGCUAACACUGACGCUCAUGCACGAAAGCGUGGGGAGCAAACAGGAUUAGAUACCCUGGUAGUCCACGCCCUAAACGAUGUCAACUAGGUGUUGGGGAAGGAGACUUCUUUAGUACCGCAGCUAACGUGUGAAGUUGACCGCCUGGGGAGUACGGUCGCAAGAUUAAAACUCAAAGGAAUUGACGG